rnacentral:rRNA from 1 species
UACGUAGGGGGCAAGCGUUGUCCGGAUUUAUUGGGCGUAAAGAGCGUGUAGGCGGCUUGACAGGUCUGCUGUGAAAACUCGAGGCUCAACCUCGAGAUGUCGGCGGAAACCGUCUGGCUAGAGUCCGGAAGAGGAGAGUGGAAUUCCUGGUGUAGCGGUGAAAUGCGCAGAUAUCAGGAGGAACACCGGUGGCGAAGGCGGUUCUCUGGGAAUGUCCUGACGCUGAGGAGCGAAAGUGUGGGGAGCGAACAGG